UUAUUGGAGAGUUUGAUCCUGGCUCAGGACGAACGCUGGCGGCGUGCCUAAUACAUGCAAGUCGAGCGGAUGUGAUGAAGAGCUUGCUCUUCUGAAC
rnacentral:ncRNA from 1 species